rnacentral:rRNA from 1 species
UACAGAGGUCCCGAGCGUUGUUCGGAUUCAUUGGGCGUAAAGGGUGCGUAGGCGGUUUUUUAAGUUUGAUGUGAAAUCCCGGGGCUCAACCCUGGAAUUGCAUUGAAUACUGAAGAACUAGAGAUCUGGAGAGGAAACUGGAAUUUACGGUGUAGCAGUGAAAUGCGUAGAGAUCGUAAGGAAGACCAGUGGCGAAGGCGAGUUUCUGGACAGAUACUGACGCUGAGGCACGAAGGCCAGGGGAGCAAACGGGG